GCUGGGUGUGGUGGUGCACACCUGUGGUCCCAGUUACUUGGGAAGAUGAGGCAGGAGGAUUGUUUGAGCCCAGGAAGUUGAGGCUGCAGUGAGCCUUCUGUUCAUGCCACUGCACUCCAGCCUGGGCAACAGAGCAACACUCUGUCUCGAU
rfam:Homo sapiens chromosome 10, GRCh38 reference primary assembly.